UUUCCGUAGGUGAGCCUGCGGAAGGAUCAUUCACAAUAAGUGAUUUUAUGGCACUUUAAAAUCCAUAUCCACCUUGUGAGCAACGUUUUGAGGACUUUUUAUCAUUUCGCCGGAUGCAGAAUGUUUGUAAUACAGCAGCGGAUGGCAACAGAAGGAGGCGUUUUAUAACUUAAGACUAGCUCAGCAAAAAAGUUGUCUGAAAAUCUAUUGUGAAUUAACUUUCAAAAUAAAUACAACUUUCAACAACGGAUCUCUUGGCUCUC
rnacentral:misc_RNA from 1 species